CCUACGGGAGUCAGCAGUCGAGAAUCAUUCACAAUGGGGGAAACCCUGAUGGUGCGACGCCGCGUGGGGGAAUGCAGGUCUACGGAUUGUAAACCCCUGUCAUGUGGGGGCAAAUUAAAAUGAUAGUACCACAAGAGGAAGAUACUGCUAACUCUGUUCCAGCAGCCGCGGUAAUACAGAGGUCUCAAGCGUUGUUAGGAAUCACUGGGCGUAAGGCGUGCGUUGGCUGUUUCGUAAGUCGUGUGUGAAAGGCGCGGGAGCAACCCGCGAACGGCACAUGAUACUGCGAGACUAGAGAAAUGGAGGGGUAACCGGAAUGCACGGUGUAGCAGUGAAAUGCGUAGAUAU
rnacentral:rRNA from 1 species